rnacentral:rRNA from 1 species
GUGAAAGGUUAACUGCCUGAAGAUGAGCUCGCGUCUGAUUAGCUAGUUGGUGNNGUAAGAGNNCACCAAGGCGACGAUCAGUAGCUGGUCUGAGAGGACGAUCAGCCACACUGGGACUGAGACACGGCCCAGACUCCUACGGGAGGCAGCAGUGGGGAAUUUUCCGCAAUGGGCGAAAGCCUGACGGAGCAAUACCGCGUGAGGGAGGAAGGCUCUUGGGUCGUAAACCUCUUUUCUCAGGGAAGAACACAAUGACGGUACCUGAGGAAUAAGCAUCGGCUAACUCCGUGCCAGCAGCCGCGGUAAUACGGAGGAUGCAAGCGUUAUCCGGAAUGAUUGGGCGUAAAGCGUCCGCAGGUGGCNAUGUAAGUCUGCUGUUAAAGAGUCUAGCUCAACUAGAUANGAGCAGUGGAAACUACAANGCUAGAGUGCGUUCGGGGCAGAGGGAAUUCCUGGUGUAGCGGUGAAAUGCGUAGAGAUCAGGAAGAACACCGGUGGCGAAGG